rnacentral:snRNA from 1 species
AGGUUGAAGGCCUGGCUUCUGUAAUUGCUUCCCCAUUGAACGUGGGCUCUGGCAGGUUGAUCCAUACUUCUAGCCUGCACUCUCUCGGUCAAAGAGGAUAUUCUUCCUCAAAUAGAGAAGGGCCAGUCUUCAGUCAAGGGUAAAGGAGUAGCUGCACUCCCCUGCUAGAACCUCCAAACGAGUUCUCAAGGUAUAGUAAAUUCUAACCAUAGGAUUUUCAAAGUAAACCAAACUCCCAAAUAAAUAUUUAUAUUAACUAUCUAU